UACGUAGGGGGCAAGCGUUGUUCGGAAUUACUGGGCGUAAAGGGCGCGUAGGCGGCUUGGCAAGUCAGGAGUGAAAGGCCUGGGCUCAACCGAGGAACUGCUUUUGAUACUGCCAAGCUAGAGUGCGGAAGGGGCAACUGGAAUUCCCAGUGUAGCGGUGAAAUGCGUAGAUAUUGGGAAGAACACCUGAGGCGAAGGCGGGUUGCUGGGCCGACACUGACGCUGAGGCGCGAAAGCCAGGGGAGCAAACGGG
rnacentral:rRNA from 1 species